rnacentral:rRNA from 1 species
UACGUAGGGGGCGAGCGUUGUCCGGAUUUAUUGGGCGUAAAGAGCGUGUAGGCGGCCAGGUAGGUCCGUUGUGAAAACUCGAGGCUCAACCUCGAGACGUCGAUGGAAACCAUCUGGCUAGAGUCCGGAAGAGGAGAGUGGAAUUCCUGGUGUAGCGGUGAAAUGCGUAGAUAUCUGGAGGAAUACCGGUGGCGAAGGCGGCAUCCUGGACCGACAUUGACGCUGAACGGCGAAAGCUAGGGGAGCAAACGGG